UACGUAGGAGGCGAGCGUUGUCCGGAAUUACUGGGCGUAAAGGGCGCGUAGGCGGUCCGAUAAGUCCCGUGUGAAAGCCCCCGGCUCAACUGGGGAACUGCACGGGAAACUGACGGACUUGAGUUCGGGAGAGGGAAGCGGAAUUCCGGGUGUAGCGGUGAAAUGCGUAGAUAUCGGGAGGAACACCAGUGGCGAAGGCGGCUUCCUGGCCUGUUCUUGACGCUGAGGCGCGAAAGCUAGGGGGGCAAACGGG
rnacentral:rRNA from 1 species